AUGCAUGGACGACAGGAGGUGGACCAGCAAAUUAAGCCACGGCAGCCACCUGCAUGUCCGCCACAGGAUAUUGGACUGGAUAUUUUCCCACCGCCACAGAUCUUCGCUCUCCCAUGCCUCCGCUGCACAAUCAUGGCCUCUCCUCCUAGCUCCCCUGGCCAACCCAGUGGAGCGUGCAGUGAGGACGGCAUCCCCGUCGUCGACUUGGCCGUCCUCCUCAACGGCGAAGCCGGGGAACGGUCGCAGGCGAUCCGGCACCUCGGCCGGGCGUGCCAAGACUGGGGCUUCUUCGUGGUGAUCAACCAUGGGGUGCCCGAGGCUCUCCAGAGCGAGAUGAUGGACGCUUGCAAGGAGCUGUUCAGCCUACCGCCGGAGCAGAAGCAGGAGCACAUGGACGUCGGCCUGAUGGACCCCGUCCGCGUCGGUACGGGCUUCACUUCAUCGCCGGAGACCGUACCUUCACUUCAUCGGUUUUAUUGCCGGUGCUCAUGA
rnacentral:rRNA from 1 species